rnacentral:rRNA from 1 species
ACGAGAAGCUUGCUUCUCUGAUGUUAGCGGCGGACGGGUGAGUAACACGUGGAUAACCUACCUAUAAGACUGGGAUAACUUCGGGAAACCGGAGCUAAUACCGGAUAAUAUUUUGAACCGCAUGGUUCAAAAGUGAAAGACGGUCUUGCUGUCACUUAUAGAUGGAUCCGCGCUGCAUUAGCUAGUUGGUAAGGUAACGGCUUACCAAGGCAACGAUGCAUAGCCGACCUGAGAGGGUGAUCGGCCACACUGGAACUGAGACACGGUCCAGACUCCUACGGGAGGCAGCAGUAGGGAAUCUUCCGCAAUGGGCGAAAGCCUGACGGAGCAACGCCGCGUGAGUGAUGAAGGUCUUCGGAUCGUAAAACUCUGUUAUUAGGGAAGAACAUAUGUGUAAGUAACUGUGCACAUCUUGACGGUACCUAAUCAGAAAGCCACGGCUAACUACGUGCCAGCAGCCGCGGUAAUACGUAGGUGGCAAGCGUUAUCCGGAAUUAUUGGGCGUAAAGCGCGCGUAGGCGGUUUUUUAAGUCUGAUGUGAAAGCCCACGGCUCAACCGUGGAGGGUCAUUGGAAACUGGAAAACUUGAGUGCAGAAGAGGAAAGUGGAAUUCCAUGUGUAGCGGUGAAAUGCGCAGAGAUAUGGAGGAACACCAGUGGCGAAGGCGACUUUCUGGUCUGUAACUGACGCUGAUGUGCGAAAGCGUGGGGAUCAAACAGGAUUAGAUANCCUGGUAGUCCACGCCGUAAACGAUGAGUGCUAAGUGUUAGGGGGUUUCCGCCCCUUA